AGGCACUGGAGACAAAGAUCAGCCACGUGGCAGUCAACCAUGUCUAUCUGACCAAGUUCCAAUGAAAACUCUGGACACCAAGGCUUGGGUGAGCUUCCGCAGUUGUACAUGUAUUGAUUGAUACACUUGGAGAUAUUUCUCAAAAGACUCCUCUGCGGGAGAGGAGAAUAGAGAAAGAAAGAAAACAACUGUGUAAGCAGACAUCAGUGUAAACCUUAGCACUGUCUCUUGAUGAGAUAAGAGGAGGAUGGCAGUGACAGGAGUGUGGUGGCGAGCCAGUCACCUGCAGUCAACCACGGCUCAUUGCUCUCACCAUGCCUGUUACAUGAAGGUAUGUAUGUAUAGGAAAAAGCACUGAAAAACUCUCCAGUUUCAGGCAUCCACUGGGGAUCUUGGAACG
rnacentral:lncRNA from 10 species